rnacentral:rRNA from 1 species
UGGGGAAUAUUGGACAAUGGGCGCAAGCCUGAUCCAGCCAUGCCGCGUGUGUGAAGAAGGCCUUCGGGUUGUAAAGCACUUUUGUUCGGGAAGAAAAGUCACCGGUUAAUACCCGGGGAUUCUGACGGUACCGAAAGAAUAAGCACCGGCUAACUUCGUGCCAGCAGCCGCGGUAAUACGAAGGGUGCAAGCGUUACUCGGAAUUACUGGGCGUAAAGCGUGCGUAGGUGGUUCGUUAAGUCUGUCGUGAAAGCCCCGGGCUCAACCUGGGAAUGGCGAUGGAUACUGGCGGGCUAGAGUGCGGUAGAGGAGAGUGGAAUUCCCGGUGUAGCAGUGAAAUGCGUAGAGAUCGGGAGGAACAUCAGUUGCGAAGGCGGCUCUCUGGACCAGCACUGACACUGAGGCACGAAAGCGUGGGGAGCAAACA